UAGGUCUGACCAGGAAGACAGUGUGGACUU
rnacentral:piRNA from 1 species